AUGGGAUACAAUAAAUGCAACCUCUGUAACAUUAAUUAGUCCAAUGUUUAACAAAAACUGAAAUGGGAAAUUAAGCCAUUGAAUGGCUAAUUUGGCCUGAAUUAUUCCCAUAACACUUCAUUUCAUCUCACUUGCAGAGACUCAGACAUAGAACAAAUGCACUGGAAUAAAUGCAGCAAAGAGAAGAUGUCACCUGGAAUGGACUCUACUUUCUUCAGGGUCAAGAAAGCCUCCUUCGAAUGCUGACCCCACCCUGCUGAGCUCACGGCCUCUCCCGGCCAGCAACAGUUAGGACAAAGCUGGGAUAAAGUUUAUGACUGUGAAGACAACCAAUAUUCAAACUGACUGACAACGAAAGCCCUGAGAAGGAUGACACGUCUGUUCCCUGAUGGAUGUGGUGCAUACAGAUGAAAAAUCCUGAAGACACUGGAAAAUCAACAGACCAAAACACCCAAAAAAACUGAGUGGAGAGAAGACUGAGUCCGGCCACCUAGCAGUCCCGAAGAGCUGCAGAGGGACAAGGCAGAUAGCAAUGUCCUUGAAGGGUUUCUCCCCACUCCCUGACCCCUGCCACAGUGUCCCUGCGAAGCCUGUCACACAAGGUCUGAAGAAGAGAGGCUUAAAAUGAAAUCAGCCUCCAGUUAGAAAAGUAGUUCACGGAGCCCUAGUUUUAAAAAAGCAUUUAAACGGGACCUAUACACGUGAGACUGGAGCCACAUCCUUUCAGAUACUAAGUGUUCUCUUUCUGGGUGCAAUUUGCACAAAUAAAAUGCGCUAGUUAAGUGGGUUAAUUGGUCCUUAUGAGCAAUGAGUUCUUGUGGGUAUUCAUUAUGACCGCUCUGUGGGUGAAAAGGGAUUGGGAACAAAGGCAAUCAAUUUUUUCCUUUCUGUCCAUACUGGUAGUUCUGGUAGUUCUGACC